CUCUCUCUACUUGAUUUUAUGAAAUCGAUGAAGAAACCUCGGUCCUAUCACUUCGAAUUCGAUUUGAUCUGAUAGUCAAACUUUGGAUCGUUUAGGUCCUAAUUAGAUUUUGAUUAGAUGAAAUUAGAUGAUCGGACCCAAUUUAAACCGUUGAAAUAUGAUAUUCGUAUUCUUUCUAAUUAUUGAAAUUGAUUCUGUAUAGGAUUGUGGAUGUUUGAUCAUGGGAUAUCGCAAUAUGAUCUACGAACAGAAUUUUUGAAAGAAAAUUUAUAGAAUUAUGUGGAUUUAUUGGAAUACGUUCGAGGUAAGUAAUGUUUCACUUUUUCUACAUUUAUCGAUAAAUUAUAAUAUAUUUUUCUGACAUGAUUUGUGAAAC
rnacentral:lncRNA from 1 species